UACGGAGGGUGCAAGCGUUGUCCGGAAUCACUGGGCGUAAAGGGCGCGUAGGCGGCUCAUGAAGGCUGUGGUGAAAGUCCGGGGCUCAACCUCGGAUCGGCCGUGGCGACUCGUGGGCUGGAGCACUGUAGAGGCGGGUGGAAUUCCGGGUGUAGCGGUGGAAUGCGUAGAGAUCCGGAAGAACACCAGUGGCGAAGGCGGCCCGCUGGGCAGUGGCUGACGCUGAGACGCGACAGCGUGGGGAGCAAACAGG
rnacentral:rRNA from 1 species